AGCAGCCGCCGCGGUAACACGGAGGGAGCUAGCGUUGUUCGGAAUUACUGGGCGUAAAGCGCACGUAGGCGGCUUUGUAAGUUAGAGGUGAAAGCCUGGAGCUCAACUCCAGAACUGCCUUUAAGACUGCAUCGCUUGAAUCCAGGAGAGGUGAGUGGAAUUCCGAGUGUAGAGGUGAAAUUCGUAGAUAUUCGGAAGAACACCAGUGGCGAAGGCGGCUCACUGGACUGGUAUUGACGCUGAGGUGCGAAAGCGUGGGGAGCAAACAGGAUUAGAUACCCCAGUAGUCCCUGUCUCUUAUAC
rnacentral:rRNA from 1 species